rnacentral:ncRNA from 1 species
GCGGUUCCGGUUCACGCCAUGCUCAGCGGCGACCCGGCGGCC